rnacentral:rRNA from 1 species
GCAGUCGAGCGGUAGAGAGGUGCUUGCACCUCUUGAGAGCGGCGGACGGGUGAGUAAAGCCUAGGAAUCUGCCUGGUAGUGGGGGAUAACGCUCGGAAACGGACGCUAAUACCGCAUACGUCCUACGGGAGAAAGCAGGGGACCUUCGGGCCUUGCGCUAUCAGAUGAGCCUAGGUCGGAUUAGCUAGUUGGUGAGGUAAUGGCUCACCAAGGCGACGAUCCGUAACUGGUCUGAGAGGAUGAUCAGUCACACUGGAACUGAGACACGGUCCAGACUCCUACGGGAGGCAGCAGUGGGGAAUAUUGGACAAUGGGCGAAAGCCUGAUCCAGCCAUGCCGCGUGUGUGAAGAAGGUCUUCGGAUUGUAAAGCACUUUAAGUUGGGAGGAAGGGCAUUAACCUAAUACGUUAGUGUUUUGACGUUACCGACAGAAUAAGCACCGGCUAACUCUGUGCCAGCAGCCGCGGUAAUACAGAGGGUGCAAGCGUUAAUCGGAAUUACUGGGCGUAAAGCGCGCGUAGGUGGUUCGUUAAGUUGGAUGUGAAAUCCCCGGGCUCAACCUGGGAACUGCAUUCAAAACUGUCGAGCUAGAGUAUG